UUAGGCUUCUCUUUAAUCUUUAUUUGCUUAUUGCUAGUAGAGUGGGCUAAGAGACUGCAGUCCAGCCACGCUGGAGGCAGCAGAGACUGCUGAGUGUCAGCAGGGCUGUCCAAGUGCCCAGGCUUCAGUGCCAGCUCAAGAGGGAGCUCGAGAAGGGAAGCCAGGGGCCGUGGUGGCUGGAAGACUUUCACGAGUACUGCUAGCCCUUGGAGUCCGAACCAUCUCAGGCUUGGACGCUGUGAUACUAGCUAUAGUCAAGAGGUAGGGAAUCCUCCAAUGUCAACUCCUGCCAGCAUCUUAAGGAAUUCCAAAUCUCCUAGGCUUGCAGGGAGCUGUUCUCUUGUAGAACCUUUAUAAACACUUAGAGAUGGAGGGCCUGGGCAUUUGAGGCUUGCAGGAGAACUGUAACACCAGAGGGUGCCACCUCCUGCCACUGUUGCUCCUGUCCAGUGCUGAGUAACAAGCCCUGGAAGGAGCCUCUCCCUCCUUAUGCUUUCUAACCAUGUUCAGCAACAGGAUCUGAAACAUCUGACUGACCAUGUUUACAACUGCUCAAAGUACCACCCUUUGCUCCUGCCAACACCCACAGAAAACAGGGAAAGGGCUCAUGUAAGUUUUCCUUUCACUAAAAAUAAUACUAUAGUUCUCUUUAAGGUUGUCUAAAAGUUUCAACCAAAUCUGAAGUGUAAGAACAAGACCUCUCUACCAAGAGCUUAAGGUUAAUCUUUAAAGGUCAGCACUGCCAAGGCCACGCCAAGUUCAUAGCCACCCUGGUCUGACAGCGCCAGGAGAGUUCUAUAAAGGGUGACAGGCUUGAGGUGCAUGAAAAAUGCAAAACCACUUUCUUUGACCUAUAAGACAUUACAGAUCAGUCACUACACGGAAGCUCUCAGGUACCUUCUGAAACACCUGUGACCCCCUGCUCUUCCAGGGCUGUCCUGGUGCAAGGUCAGUUACUCUAAGAACUACCUACCACCAAGAGAGAAAGUCUGACAGAGCCAUAAAAAUGGAAAGCACUCUCAUUCUACUCCUUCUCAAUUUGAAGAAGUAAAUAAAUGAAAUGAAAUGUGUAUUAACAAUGAUUAAUAUGCUAAAUGAGUGGAUAAAACAACACUGAGACAAUUCCAAUUCUACUAUAACCAAACAAAGCAAAGACCCAGCUUGCCUAGCUUGUGCCAUCCGGUGCCAGCAGGGAGGAGACGGUAGAAAGCCUAGAGUCUAACAGUGCUGUCUUUGCAGGCAGACCACUCCAUGAUGGGCACCAGAAGCAGCCAGGGGAGACGAGGUUCAUGUCCCAGUUACUUGCCGCCCCUCCCCCACCUCAAUAUCAGUUGUCAGUUAAGACACAGGAUGCUCCAGACCAGAUUCUUAACACGAUGGGAAACAGCCAAGCUUCUGUCGCAUUUACUGGUGCAAGAACAGGACAACCUCUACUGGAAAGGACAACAGCAGAGGGCUGUUAAUUCCAAGGUGACAGUUUAUCUUACAAAGAUUUUAGACCAUCCAUGAUGAAAAAACUUUAAUCAUCAAUUACAAAUAUAUCCUUCACUCCAGUCUCAAAAUCCACAGCAGCACACAGUGAUAGAUCUUGCAAUUAAAGACAAAAGCAGACAAACAAAAGAACAUCGUGGAAGCUGUGUGAGGAAAGAUGCCUCCCUACUCCUGUAGGAGAAAGAAAGCCAACAGAGAACCUGCCUGUCAAAUUCAGAGACCAGGAGGAAUCCGUUGCAGUCAAGGUAUGGAAAUGGAGCUGUUAGGGAACAGAGUCCACCACAGGUCUUUCUUAGGGAAAGGAAUGGAGUCCGAAGCCCACACGGGACAGAAGCCUGCCCGAACCCUCCCCAGGAAGGACACAGGGUCUGAGGGAGACUCUCAACUGCAUGACCACACACCAUCUAGGCUGGCCUGAGGAUGACAGUGAACUUUUGAUCUUCUUGCCUCUGCUUCCCAAGUGUAAGUAACCAGAUUUUAGAAGAGAUCUCCAGAAGAACUGUAGGUUCUGCAAAAAAAGGUAAGACUCAUGGUGUCAGGGUCAGUCAGAAUCAGGGACAUCCAGACACUCCAAAGUAUGGCACUAGCUCUCUACAGGCUCAGUGAAGGAAGGGGAGAGGAGAGGACACUACUCACGCCAUCCUGUGAAGAAAGCCACAUUGGGCAUGUGACAAUGCACACAGUGGGAAAGAGAUCAUAAGAUUCAUGGCUACCGUGCCUGCCGACAUAACACAAGCCAACAGCAACAGCUCCAUUCCAAGAGUUCAACCACGUUGUUUUGUUUUAAACCAACCAACGGGGCAGGGAGACACUCUGAGUAAAGGUGCCAGCUGCCAAGCUUGCUGUCCUGAGCCCUGAGUUUGGACUUACAUGGUGGGAGGAGAAAAAUACGCUUGUAAGUUGUCCUCUGACCUUCCUAAUCACUCUGGCAUACCUCGCAAGUCCACACCUUCCCUCCAAAAAAAGUGAGUACGUAAAUGUAAUAAAAUCCAAAUAAGGUAACUACCCAUGUAGAAGCAGGUUCAAGAAAAAGAUUGUUUAUAAUACAUGCAACCACUGAAAACACCCAGUCACCAGUAACGAAACUUCACAUAUGAGGGAGGGAGGAGGGACGGUCUCCAGUGGGACAAGGAAGAUGCCACAAACUCCACAAGCUCCCCAGAGACAGUAUUUCACUCAAGACUGAAGGAAAGGUGCCACUCAAGUCCUCUGGUCAGUGCAACUGACAGAGCCAGGAACCAGAUCCAGAAAGAUGUACUUGCUUGACUUGGAAACAAGCGCCAUCAAAGUCCAGGGUCUCUGAGGAGCAAGGAGAGGUUCACAAUGCAGUGACACACGCCUGUGACCCAGCAGGGGGGAAGCUGCGGCAGGAGGACUGCAGGCUUCAUCCCACAUGGGCUAAAUAGAGACUGUCUCAAAGAUCUAACCAAUCCAUCCUUCUCCGCAUGCCCCUCUGUGGUAGGACAGGGCUGAAAAAGACCUCAGUAAACUGUCAUGCAAGCAUGGAUGCUGGGAUUGGGAUCCUCAGAUCCCUGUAAAAGCCUGGUGUGGCCACACAUGCUCCUUUCAUCCCGGUGCAGGAAGGCAAACAGGCACAUCCUGUGGAAUUCAGUGAGCAGCCUGUUUGCUUACUAAGUUGGUCAGCUCCGACUCUGUCUUAAACUAUAAAGUUAUGAGCACAUAAGGCUGCCAGGGGCACACUAACCUUGGCCGGUCUGUCUCCACAUGCACAUGUGUGUGCACACACCCACACACCUCUUCAUAUCACCCUCCUCCCAGAAACAAAUGACAGCAAACAGACCGCAUGUAAGCCUAUGUAAAUGUGAGGAAGAGAGCAUGCUCAGAGAAACAGUGAAAUGGUGAGACACUGGAAGGUGAGGGUGUCGGUAACAACUCAACAUGAAAACACAGUUCACAACAAAAACACUGCUAAGUAGAACUCCACAAAACUCAUGGAGUAAAAACUUACUAUUCUAUCAAAGGCCAGUUAGGAGGUAAACAGACAAACUACAGUAAACUGAGAAAAUGCUUGUUUCGGUGGAAAACACACAAAGACAAGUUAGCAGUAAUAACCAAAAAGCUCAAUUAGAGAAUGGGAAAACCACAGUUAUUUCACCAGAGUAACCAUCUCCAAUAGAUGCUCCGUGCUCAGUGAACCCUUAAGAGGGCCAUGUUUGGCUCUCUGGCUCUACCUUCCAGAUGGACCUCUAUCAUCUUAAGUUCAGUCAGGCCAAGGGGUCAGCCCCUGAAUUCACCUGGCCAGGGGAACCUGUAUCUCACCCUGCUUCAGGCACCAAGAGUGGGAUCAGAUGACAUCACCCACCAACUGGACACAGUCGGCUCUCAAGCCACACAUUUACUGAGCCUGAGUCUCAUUAAGUAGCCUGCAGAUUUCCCUGACUUCACUUACUGACAAGUCUAGGGGACUCCACUGUACUUCUAGCCCCCAAGUACAAAGCAAAAGUUACAACUUCACAGCCAGGGCGACAAUGCUCACCCAGGAUGAUGCCUGGUGCUGUUGCCAAGCACCCUGUCACAAUGGGUCUGCAGAGUUCCAGGCCCAGCAAGGGCUGGCUGUCACUCUCAUAGAGCUACAAGGCUGAGCUCCCAGACGUAUAGCAGGCAUGGGAGUCCUGGGACAGGCAAAGCAGGAGCCACACGAGUUGUAGGAUGGCUGGAAGAGUGUCCCUGCCACUAUGCUAGGGGUCUGGCAUGGGCCGAGGAUUCUCUACUGUGUUCCAAGGCCACUGUGAAUGGCUGCACCUGUGGUCGGCAACCUGGAUGCACCAGAUACUUGCAGGUCUAAAAGAAAACAUCGCCUCCCCAGAAAGCACCGCAAGAAACUGGCUCCUGCAGCUGCAUGAGGCAGCGCCCGCCACGUUUCAGAUAUGGCUUCCUCUGCUGCCGUAUUAAAAGCUUUAUUGAGCUCA